GCGCGCGAGCUUUUGCUACGGGCGCUCGGCGCGGGCGGGCGGGCGGCUCCCGGCGUGGUGGUGGUCUCUGGAAGAAAUUUCGGCUUCAGUUUCAAGAGUGUUUGUCCGCGGUGUCUGGACGGUCUCCCGGUGCCGAGUCCCGUCCGGCGGCUGCACUGUUGACCCGAGAUUCCGGUCCGUGGUCCGAACUCCGGCCACCUCGGACCUAUAAACGGACUGACUCCGAACGGCUCACUGGCGGGACCGAGGAAGACGGUACCGGUACUCCAGUCUCCAGCACACCACCGAGCUCUCCACCAAAGAACUCUAGCUUAUCAGUGGGUGCGGCGACGCUCGAGACCAAUGACAUCUGGUCCGCCAGUCAGGAGACUGAACGGUGCGGCAGUGCAGUAUAGAGUGUGACUCCGGUACAGCUGACACCAGACGUCCGUCCAUCGACCAGUCACCACGGAACGGACCUCCACCGAACUCCGGAAUGUCCGACGGUCUCAUAUCUGGAAGAACAGUUCACCUCACAGAAGAGAUGGCGGCACUGCUUCAACACACCAACGCCUCAAACCAAAAGAUAGGUUCACCCGAGAACACUGGUUCACCGAUGGUGGCCCCGCUUCAGCACACCACCGGGACCCGCCACAGGAGUCGGCUUACCAGGCUGUUUGCACGCGAAGAACUUCAAACAAGGAGUGAAUCGGAGGACAGAAGAACCGGGUCGAGAUGUAUUGGGGAGGGGUUAAUCAGGGGGGGGGUAGGUGAGCCUGCCUUCUCCCCGGAUUACCCCCUCCCAUACCAUGUGUAGUGGGAGGGGUAAUCGGGGGGAGUAGGUGGGCUUACCUGCCCUCUCCCCUGAUUACUCCUCCCCUACCAUUCAUAGGGGGAGAUGGGUAAUCGGGGAGAGAGGCUUACCUGCCAUCUCCCCCGAUUGCUCCUCCUCUGUCCUGUGUAAGGGGAGAGGGGUAAUCGGCGGGGGGAGGCAGACUCAUCUGCCUCCUACCCCUGUUUUAUCCCCUCCCCUACCAUGUAUGGGGGAGAGGGAUUAUCGGGGAGGGAGGUGUUCCUGCCUCCACCGACUAUUCCUCUCCCUUUAUACAUGGUAGGGGAGGGGGUAAUCGGGGGGGGGCAGGUAAGUAUGCCUACCUUCUCUCCUGAUUAUCCCCUCCCGUAGUGGUAGUAGAGGGGGGGUUGUGUAGGUCAGUGUCCUUGACAGGGGGGAAGGGUGGUGUACUGUCCAAUGUGAUCACACAUGGCCAUAUCGUAAUAAUACACGUUGGAGCGGCUUCCUCUU